rnacentral:rRNA from 1 species
UACGUAUGGAGCAAGCGUUAUCCGGAUUUACUGGGUGUAAAGGGAGCGCAGGCGGCUUUGCAAGUCUGAUGUGAAAGGCCGGGGCUCAACCCCGGGACUGCAUUGGAAACUGUAAAGCUAGAGUGCCGGAGGGGUAAGCGGAAUUCCUAGUGUAGCGGUGAAAUGCGUAGAUAUUAGGGGGAACACCAGUGGCGAAGGCGGCUUACUGGACGGUAACUGACGCUGAGGCUCGAAAGCGUGGGGAGCAAACAGG